rnacentral:tRNA from 1 species
GCGCAGGUAGUGUAGCCUGGUUAGCACCAAGGCCUGUGGAGCCUUUGACCCGAGUUCAAAUCUCGGCCUGCGCC